rnacentral:rRNA from 1 species
GACGAACGCUGGCGGCGUGCUUAACACAUGCAAGUCGAACGGAAAGGCCCUGCUUUUGCGGGGUGCUCGAGUGGCGAACGGGUGUGUAACACGUGAGUAUCCUGCCCUUGACUUUGGGAUAACUUCAGGAAACUGGGGCUAAUACCGGAUAGGAGCUCCUGCUGCAUGGGGGGGGUUGGAAAGUUUCGGCGGUUGGGGAUGGACUCGCGGCUUAUCAGCUUGUUGGUGGGGUAGUGGCUUACCAAGGCUUUGACGGGUAGCCGGCCUGAGAGGGUGGCCGGCCACCUUGGGACUGAGAUACGGCCCAGAGUCGUACGGGGGGCAGCAGUGGGGAAUAUUGCACAAUGGGCGGAAGCAUGAUGCAGCGACGCCGCGUGCGGGAUGACGGCCUUCGGGUUAUAAACCGCUUUCGCCUGUGACGAAGCGUGAGUGACGGUAAUGGGUAAAGAAGCACCGGCUAACUACGUG